rnacentral:rRNA from 1 species
AUACGGAGGUUCCAAGCGUUAUCCGGAAUCAUUGGGUUUAAAGGGUCCGCAGGCGGUCAAUUAAGUCAGAGGUGAAAGCCCAUCGCUCAACUAUGGAACUGCCUUUGAUACUGGUUGACUUGAGUUAUACGGAAGUAGAUAGAAUAAGUAGUGUAGCGGUGAAAUGCAUAGAUAUUACUUAGAAUACCGAUUGCGAAGGCAGUCUACUACGUAUAUACUGACGCUGAGGGACGAAAGCGUGGGCUGCGAACAGGAUUAGAUACCCCGGUAGUCC